rnacentral:misc_RNA from 1 species
UCCGGUUUGUCACCGGCGGUCUCCUUAGAGUUCCCAACUGAAUGAUGGCAACUAAGGACAAGGGUUGCGUUCGUUGCGGGACUUAACCCAACAUCUCACGACACGAGCUGACGACAGCCAUGCAGCACCUGUGUGUCGGCUCCCUUUCGGGCACGCCUCCGUCUCGAGAGGCUUCCGACCAUGUCAAGGGUAGGUAAGGUUUUUCGCGUUGCAUCGAAUUAAUCCACAUCAUCCACCGCUUGUGCGGGUCCCCGUCUAUUCCUUUGAGUUUUAAUCUUGCGAUCGUACUCCCCAGGCGGUGAACUUAAUGCGUUAGCUGCGUCACUGAAGGGGUCAAUAUCCUCCAACAACUAGUUCACAUCGUUUACUGCGUGGACUAC